rnacentral:rRNA from 1 species
AACGGAGGGGACUAGCGUUACUCGUCAUGACUGGGCGUAAAGGGUUUGUAGGCGGCUUAGUAAGUUUUGCAUUAAUUUGACAAUGUAAAAUACUGCUUCGCUAGAGUUUUAUGGAAGAUAGCAGUACUCUUGAUGGAGGGGUGAAAUCCUUAGAUAUCAACGGGGACUAUCAGUGGUGAAAGCGGCUAUCUAUGUAAUAACUGACGCUGAGGAACGAAAGUACGGGGAGCAAACGGG